rnacentral:pre_miRNA from 1 species
CUGCUCGUCAGAGUGGUUGUGAUGUGUGUAUUAGCUAUUCAUAUCACAGCCAGCUUUGAUGAGCGGAG